UACGAAGGGGGCUAGCGUUGCUCGGAAUCACUGGGCGUAAAGGGCGCGUAGGCGGCCAUUCAAGUCGGGGGUGAAAGCCUGUGGCUCAACCACAGAAUUGCCCUUCGAUACUGUUUGGCUUGAGUAUGGUAGAGGUUGGUGGAACUGCGAGUGUAGAGGUGAAAUUCGUAGAUAUUCGCAAGAACACCGGUGGCGAAGGCGGCCAACUGGACCAUUACUGACGCUGAGGCGCGAAAUGCGUGGGGAGCAAACAGG
rnacentral:rRNA from 1 species